UGAGGAAUAUUGGCCAAUGGGCGAGAGCCUGAACCAGCCAAGUCGCGUGAAGGAAGACAGUCCUAAGGAUUGUAAACUUCUUUUAUACGGGAAUAACGGGCGAUACGAGUAUUGCAUUGAAUGUACCGUAAGAAUAAGCAUCGGCUAACUCCGUGCCAGCAGCCGCGGUAAUACGGAGGAUGCGAGCGUUAUCCGGAUUUAUUGGGUUUAAAGGGUGCGUAGGUUGUUCGGUAAGUCAGCGGUGAAACCUGAGCGCUCAACGUUCAGCCUGCCGUUGAAACUGCCGGGCUUGAGUUCAGUGGCGGCAGGCGGAAUUCGUGGUGUAGCGGUGAAAUGCAUAGAUAUCACGAGGAACUCCGAUUGCGAAGGCAGCUUGCCAUACUGCGACUGACACUGAAGCACGAAGGCGUGGGUAUCAAACAGGAUUAGAUACCCUGGUAGUCCACGCAGUAAACGAUGAUUACUAGGAGUUUGCGAUAUACCGUCAAGCUUCCACAGCGAAAGCGUUAAGUAAUCCACCUGGGGAGUACGCCGGCAACGGUG
rnacentral:rRNA from 1 species